rnacentral:rRNA from 1 species
AUGUCACGUCGAGGUACUGCAGAAAGAAAAACUGCAAAAUCUGAUCCAAUUUUUCGUAAUCGAUUAGUUAACAUGAUGGUUAACCGUAUUCUGAAAGACGGAAAAAAAUCAUUGGCUUAUCAAAUUCUCUAUCGAGCCGUGAAAAAGAUUCAACAAAAGAUAGAAACAAAUCCACUAUUGGUUUUACGUCAAGCAAUACGUAGAGUAACUCCCAAUAUAGGAGUAAAAACAAGACAAGGAAGAGCACUUGCCAUUCGUUGGUUAUUAGAAGCAUCCCAAAAGCGUCCGGUUCGAAAUAUGGCUUUCAAAUUAAGUUCCGAAUUAGUAGAUGCUGCCAAAGGGAGUGGGGGUGCCAUACGCAAAAAGGAAGCGACUCAUAGAAUGGCAGAGGCAAAUAGAGCUCUUGCACAUUUUCGUUAA